UACAGAGGGGGCAAGCGUUGUUCGGAAUUACUGGGCGUAAAGGGCUCGUAGGCGGCCAACUAAGUCAGACGUGAAAUCCCUCGGCUUAACCGGGGAACUGCGUCUGAUACUGGAUGGCUUGAGUUAGGGAGAGGGAUGCGGAAUUCCAGGUGUAGCGGUGAAAUGCGUAGAUAUCUGGAGGAACACCGGUGGCGAAGGCGGCAUCCUGGACCAACACUGACGCUGAGUGAGCGAAAGCCAGGGGAGCAAACGGG
rnacentral:rRNA from 1 species